UACAGAGGUCUCAAGCGUUGUUCGGAUUCAUUGGGCGUAAAGGGUGCGUAGGCGGCGCGGUAAGUCGGGUGUGAAAUCUCGGAGCUUAACUCCGAAACUGCAUUCGGAUACUGCCGUGCUUGAGGACUGGAGAGGAGACUGGAAUUUACGGUGUAGCGGUGAAAUGCGUAGAUAUCGUAAGGAAGACCAGUGGCGAAGGCGGGUCUCUGGACAGUUCCUGACGCUGGAGGCACGAAGGCCAGGGGAGCAAACGGG
rnacentral:rRNA from 1 species